rnacentral:misc_RNA from 1 species
AUUGUUGUUUACUUGUACACUUAUGUACCUUUAGGUUUGAGAACACCAUUGCUGGUCAGUUCUUUGGACAUUGUCAUGAGGACAGGUUUCAUCUUAUGGUGGACUUUGAACCCGACACUCCUCCUAGACCAUAUGGUAUAUUAUACCUAGGUCCUAGCGUAACCACUUAUUCCUAUCAGAAUGCAGGAUAUAGAAUUUAUACUGUUGAUGGUAAUUACAAUGAGUCCUCUAGACAAGUACUGGAUCAUGAUACAUACAUACUAAACAUUACUGAUGCUAAUCUUACUAAUAAACCAAAAUGGAUCCAUGAAUACUCAGCUAAAGAUGCAUACAAUAUGACUAAUCUCACACCUGAUGGCUGGUUAUCUUUGCUGAAGGAAUUUUUAACUAAUAACGAUCUCUUUUUAAAAUAUUAUCAUUUCUUUUUUAAAUCAUUCGAUAUGAAUUCUCAGUGCUCUGGCUCCUGUCAGCAUUCUACAAUCUGUUCCUGUUUAACAACUUUCGGUAAUGCUUCUGCCUGUGAUGCUGUAUCACCAAAGACUGUGACAAAAGAACAAAUGAUGCUGUAUGCGAAAGCACAUGACCACUGCUAAGAUACAAUUAACAUUAAAAUGUCUUAUUACAUUACUGCUUUAUGUUCACAUUAAUUUUAUUAUUGUCAAAAAUAAUUAAUUUUUAAAACUCCGCCUUGUUUGAAGGUGUGGUGGUGGUGUGAUUUAAGCCACAGGAAAUUAAUUUUGUUUGUUUUGCGAAGAGAGAAAGAUGGAAAAGAAAGGGUGUUCUUUCGUGUUUCUCUGCUUAGCUCUGUUGUAUGUCACUCGGCCAGUUUUAUUGGCUUCUUUGAAGGGCAUAGACUUGUCUAAGUCGGGCCUGGGCUCCAGCAUAUUGUGCGACACUUGUAUAGGGCUGGUGACAACUGUUCGGAAACUAGCCAAACUGCAUGUCAGUCAGGAGUUGAUAGAGAAAGCUGCAAUAGAAUACUGUGAGAAGUCUGGCCGUGCUGACGAGCGUAUCUGUAAGCUGAUUAUACCCGAGUUCAAGGAUGAGGUUCUCUAUGUGUUCGAUCAUACUGCUCUUUCCUCGCGUGAGAUCUGUGGCACCGUUCUAGAUGACAAGUGUGGCUCAACGUAUGAUCCUUUUAAUCAACAAUGGAAUGUCACCAUACCUGGUGGCAAACCUCCCAUUAAACCAUAUCAUCCUCCAAAAGUAAACAUUACUAACAGAAUUCUUCAUAUUUCUGAUAUUCAUUGGGACCCUCAGUAUACUCCUGGCCUUCAAGCUCGUUGUGAUGAACCAUUAUGCUGUAGACCACCACUACCAAAAGGAGAUCCAAACAACUCAGCAGGUGCUUGGGGUGAUGCUCACUGUGAUAUACCACUACAAACUGUUGUAAACUUAAUGGAGCAUCUCAAUGCAACACAAGAUCAAUUUGAAUGGAUUUACAUGACUGGCGACUUGCCAGCUCAUAAUGACUGGAGCCAAACAAGAUCAGGCCAAGUUGAUAUUUUUAACAAAAUGAUUGACUUAUUUAAUGAGUAUCUUCCUAAUAAACCUGUGUUCUAUUCAUUUGGUAAUCAUGAGAGCGAUCCAGUCAACAGUUUCCCUCCAAAUUAUAUCACUGGGUCUAACUCCAUUUCAUGGUUAUAUGAUGAUGCUGCUGACAAGUUAAAGAAAUGGCUUAACACAACUGAUGCAUAUAAUACAUUUAAAAGUGGUGGUUAUUAUUCUGUCGAUUACAAUGGAAUAAGAAUUAUUUCAUUACAGACAAACUAUUGUAAUAAACAAAACUGGUGGUUGCUGAUCAAUGGGACUGAUCCUGAUGGAAUGUUACAAUGGUUUGUUGAGAAGUUACUUGAUGCUGAGAAGAAAGGAAUGAAGGUUCAUGUACUGGGCCAUAUCUCACCAGGUGAUGGUGCUGACUGCUCUAAUGCUUGGAGUGCAAAUUAUAAGAAAAUUGCAUUGAGGUUUGAGAAUACCAUUGCUGGUCAAUUCUUUGGACAUUGUCAUGAGGACAGGUUUCAUUUUAUGGUGGACUUUGAACCCAACACUCCACCUAGACCAUAUGGACAAGUACUGGAUCACGAUACAUACAUACUAAACAUUACUGAUGCUAAUCUUACUAAUAAACCAAAAUGGAUCCAUGAAUACUCAGCUAAAGAUGCAUACAAUAUGACUAAUCUCAUACCUGAUAGUUGAUUAUCUUUAUUGAAGGGAUUUUUAACUAAUAGUGAUUUUUUUUGAAAUAUUAUCAUUUCUUUUUUAAAUCAUUUGAUAUGAAUGCUCAGUGCUCUGGCUACUGUCAGCAUUCUACAAUCUGUUCCUGUUUAACAACUUUCAGUAAUGUUUCUGCCUGUGAUGCUGUAUCACCAAAGACUGUGAAAAAAGAACAAAUGACACUAUAUGCCAAAGCUCAUGACCACUGCUAAGAUACAAUUAACAUUAAAAUGUUACUGCUCUAUGUUCACAUUAAUUUUAUUAU